rfam:Human enterovirus 70 genomic RNA, complete genome, strain: J670/71.
CAUGGGACGCUAGUUGUGAACAAGGUGCGAAGAGCCUAUUGAGCUACCUGAGAGUCCUCCGGCCCCUGAAUGCGGCUAAUCCCAACCACGGAGCAAAUGCUCACAAUCCAGUGAGUGGUUUGUCGUAAUGCGCAAGUCUGUGGCGGAACCGACUACUUUGGGUGUCCGUGUUUCCUUUUAUUUUUAUUAUGGCUGCUUAUGGUGACAAUCUGAGAUUGUUAUCAUAUAGCUAUUGGAUUAGCCAUCCGGUG